rnacentral:rRNA from 1 species
CAGUAGCCGCGGUAAGACGGAGGAUGCAAGCGUUAUCCGGAAUGAUUGGGCGUAAAGCGUCUGUAGGUGGUUUAUUAAGUCUGCUGUUAAAGCACAGGGCUCAACCCUGUAUGGGCGGUAGAAACUGGUAGGCUUGAGUAUGGUAGGGGUAGAGGGAAUUCCCGAUGUAGUGGUGAAAUGCGUUGAUAUCGGGAAGAACACCAAAGGCGAAAGCACUCUGCUGGGCCAAUACUGACACUAAGAGACGAAAGCUAGGGGAGCAAAUGGGAUUAGAUACCCCAGUAGUCCCUGUCUCUUAUAC